UUGCAGAAUUCAGUGAAUCAUCGAAUCUUUGAACGCAUCUUGCGCUCCUUGGUAUUCCGAGGAGCAUGCCUGUUUGAGUGUCAUUA
rnacentral:rRNA from 1 species